AGGGUUUGAUUCUGGCUCAGGACGAACGCUGGCGGCGUGCCUAACACAUGCAAGUCGAACGGAACUCAUUGGAACAAGGCUUCGGCCAAGGGAAUUUGAGUUUAGUGGCGAACGGGUGAGUAACGCGUGAACAAUCUGCCUUUCAGAGGGGGACAACAGUUGGAAACGACUGCUAAUACCGCAUAAUAUAUUUUGGGGGCAUCCCUGGGAUAUCAAAGAUUUAUCGCUGAAAGAUGAGUUCGCGUCUGAUUAGCUAGUUGGUGGGGUAACGGCCCACCAAGGCGACGAUCAGUAGCCGGGUUGAGAGACUGACCGGCCACAUUGGGACUGAGAUACGGCCCAG
rnacentral:rRNA from 1 species